AACCCUGUGACAUUGACAAGUCUUUGAAGAUUGUCUCAUGAUGAAAUGUUCUCCCACUUGGCACCUGUUCUUUCAUUGAUAAUAGUCCUGCAGUGUAGGCUAAAUCUAGAUAGCUAGUUCAUAUUGCAAGACUGUGAAGUAUGUAUUGAAUUAGAGGUUUGAUGAUAAAUCUUUGGCAAUGCCUAGAAAUUGAGUUGAAAGAAGGGUGAAAUGCCCUCCACAAUUCACUGACUACUAGGCUAUGUAUCAGUUGUUGGUAUAAUCACCUGUACCAGUUGCUUGGGGGAAUAUUCUGGCUGUGUAUCGUGACAUUAUGCCAAAUCCGUCUGUUCCUGCGACUGCAAAUGUGUGAAAAUGCGUCUGUUUUUCUUGAAAUAUGUGUGUUUUGCUUGCGAUAUGUGUGUUUUUCUUGUCAUAAGUGAGUUAGUGUAAUUGCAGGCGCUGGUAUAUACUACGACUGAUUAGAGGCAAAGUCAUCUCCCAGGUGUUAGAAAUGCUCAGAUGGCGUGAGGAAUCUUUUGUUUUUCUCCAUGUUUAUCUUCGCAAUUAGAAUCUCCCUGGCAGUGUUUCCAUUGAUCCAUGUCCAAGUCUUUACCACACACACACACACACACACAUCCAAAGGUGUCAGCCCGGGCUGCAGUGCAGUCAGACACACGCAUAGACAUGUACGUGUGCCCGAGUGUGUGUACGCAUGUCUUAUAGUAGGAUGGGCUCUGUUUUGAUGUUCUCUUUCUUUGUUUAUGUUUUUCUCUCUCACUCCGUCUUUCCCACCAGAUUUUGCACUGCUGCAGCAGACAGCAGACAGAUCUUCAGAAUCAACAUGAAGUCAAGGUGAUGGAGGGUCACACCAGCUACAUCAACCACUUAGUGUUUGAACCCACGGAGGGGAAACAAAUGGCUUCGGUCAGCGAUGACCAUACAUGCAGCCCUGUCCUUUCCUGCGUGGGAACUCUACUCCAGCCGGAGAGGCCACCUGUAGCAGCUAGAAGGAGGUCACAGCCUCCCACUGAGGUCAGAGUGUCUGCCAGAGGUCCCAACCUCUCUGGGCUCGGCUCCCAUUGUGUCUCAUAGCUUUCAGUUGGAUUUGCAGUAGGUAUGUUUCUGUUGUGUGAGAUGGAUUCCUCACUUCAGCCAGCUCUGGUUUCGUGUUGACAUGGAUCAGCAGAAUACAGCUUACUCAAGGGGCUUGAACAGAGACACCUGCUGCAACUAUUUGAUGUGCGAGAUCUACUCUGUGUGUGUGAUCUACUCUGUGUGACAUCCGUUUGGGAAGUAUUUCUGAGGCGUUAUCACAACAGUUUGAGCCUUUCUCCCCACUCUAGCCCGUCAGUCAAGCUAUCUGUCAGUUAGUAUGUCCAUGUCCACUCUACAACAUCCCAGUCUUUCAUCUCCUCGUUUCUCAUUUUCUUCUCAUGUUCUCACACUUUCUUUCUGCUCUGUUCUAGGGGAUCCCAUCAUCAACUCUAGCGAGAGGAGCAAACUGAUCCAAUAAAAAUGACAAAUGGCCGAGAUAAUUAUUUCAACAGUCCAAAUGUCUGCUAAAGAACGUGUUAUUGUUCAAGACACUUGAGCAGGUCUGAUCAAGAUGGAUGUUGGUGUGGUUUUGAGGAGAGGAGGACGGCGUGCUGUGCUCCUCUGCCUGGACUCCCCUGUGUGGCUCUGAGGUGUGAUUACUGUUUGUCUUUCACAACCCUCGUUCUGCCGAGAGUCGCCAAGGUUAUUUACCCUGCACACUCUCAUAAUUUAGUUCACACGGUGCACACUACGUUUCCCAUUUCCUCCGCUCAUUUGGAAACCGUUGACCAAAAUGAAAAGGUGCGGCUGCUGUUGUCUCACUCACAUCUACACACAGACUUCAAAUGCAGUCUCGCCUUUCAACUCUAUUGUACACGAAGCCCAGUGUUAUUGCUUGAUGUCACGUCAGCUGUAGUGUUAUGCAGUUACACAUCUCUUUGUCAGUGGUGGUCUCAGUCUUGUUUCUUGCCCCCUUUCACCUUGUUCAGCAAGGAUUACAUUGAAACAUUUUUUAAAUAAGAAUCUUUCCCCAUUUGAAGGGCAAAGUGGUGGACCACAACUUGGCCGGAUGCGGCGUAGCGUGCGAUUGAACUCUGCUUGGCGAGUGGUCUGAGAACAGAGGGUUUAUGCUUGUUUGUCUGCUGUGGUCUGAGGUUUCCAACCUCGCUCAUGGUCUAUGGAGGAGGGUCUGCACCGCACUCUACACAGGGCCAUUCUGACUUCUGUGUUGUGUCAAGAAGCAAAAGCUCUCAUGGAGAAAUGUUUUAUCCCCUGCAGGGAAGACACAGGAAAAGUUGUGUUUGUUUAAUGAGGUCUUCAUCUGGGAUGGGGCAAAAUCAUAUCCUCUCCGCCGCGACUCUGCAGACAUCUCUCCAACAUGUUUGACAUUUAGACAGGCUUUGGGUCUUUAUUAGAUGUCUUCUGCAUGACCUCAUCAGUCAACACAUUCACAUCGGUCCCAACCAUACAGUCCUUUAAAAAACAUUUUUAACCACUUGCAAGUUUAUUCCUCCCUGGUUCAGGGGAAUGUUCUGUUAGAUACGAGGCCUUGUGUUCGCUGAGGAGGACUCUCAAAUGUGGUUGAAGAGUAGAUCCUGGUCUCGGGAGCAGCCUGUCCUCUCCAAGUGAUUUAUUACAUCCGGGCGCACGUUUGCCUUGUGUCCUCGGCCUUCUCGCUCGUCAGCGCAGGGCCCCACCCGCCUGUCUUCACAGCUCAAGAGGGAGAUUACAACCAAGAUCCCUUUUUCCCUGAAAGAAGGGCAGUGCUAGUGAGGCUCUAUGUGCGCAUCUCUUGGACAACUGACAGAAGUUAGAUAAAUUACACACAGGCAUUACGUGCUUUCAUAAAAACACUGGCAUCACUACAGGCCUGGUGUGUGCUGCUCACUCAUUAGAGUACAUUCCCGAAGAGAGUCUCACAGACGCCUGGGGAAAGAUGGGUUUGGAUGGAAGCUUGUAACUUUUUUGACAUGGAUCCUGUGAGACAAAAACAGCCAGCCAGCCAGCCAUGAUGUCUUUGUUGUUUUUCAUAUUUUUAGCUGCCAUUAGCGUGUGUAAUCCUUUGUUUUGUGUGCAGUCAGCACCAAGGCGUCUGCCUGCGCUGUGCUGCGCGUCAUCUCCUCUCCCCACACAGGGGGUGGCUGGACUCCGGAAGCUAUUUUUAGCAUUGCCGCGCGUCCCACUCCAGCACAGCUAAUUGAGUGCUUAUUAAUUUUGUUUUUUGGACUUGAUAAUUUCUCAUUUUUGACAGGACCUGUUUUAUCUGAAGCUUCGGACCGGGUUGUUUGUUUGAAUCGCAGACUUCCUGUCUGAGGUUGUUUUCUAAACGGGUAGUUGAGGACAGGAGAAUAAUUUUCUUACAGUCCUUAAACGGUUCAUUUCCCCUGAGCACACCCCCUCUCCCUUUCAUGCCAGAUGGCCUCUCAGUAACAGUGCAUUCCAGUUUCAUAAUGAGAGUUUAAAUAAUUAGUGAGAGUGAAAAGUUCUAGUGUGAGAGUGAAAAUAUCUAGUGUGGGAGUGAAAAGAUCUAGUGUGAGAGUGAAAAGAUCUAGUGUGGGAGUGAAAAGCUCUAGUGUGAGAGUGAAAAGAUCUAGUGUGAGAGUGAAAAGAUCUAGUGUGAGAGUGAAAAGAUCUAGUGUGUGAGUGAAAAGAUCUCUUGUGAGAGUGAAAAGAUCUAGUGCGUGAGUGAAAAGAUCUAGUGUGGGAGUGAAAAUAUCUAGUGUGAGAGUGAAAAGAUCUAGUGUGAGAGUGAAAAGAUCUAGUGUGUGAGUGAAAAGAUCUCUUGUGAGAGUGAAAAGAUCUAGUGUGAGAGUGAAAAGAUUAGUGUGGGAGUGAAAAUAUCUAGUUGAGUGAAAAGAUCUCGCCAUACUAAACCUUGAUCCUCUGUACAGCUGAUGGUGGCCGAGAAGAAGGGACGAUCCGCUUCUAUGACCUGGUUACCCAGCAAGCCAUUCUUUCUCUGGAUUGCGGCCAGUCGCCACUCAUGUCGGCCGACUGGUGCCUCGCCAACACCAUCAAGGUGGGCGCGGUGACGGGCAGCGACUGGGUCAUCUGGGAUAUUACCCGCUCCAGUUACCCACAAGAGAAGAGGCCUGCCCAUGUAGAACGAGCAGGAAACUUCAGAUAACUGCUUUGUCCAUGCUUCCAAGGUGUUCUCGGGUCAAUGAGAAUCUCUUCUCCACAACAGGAUGUCCAGGCAAGAUCAGCAGUCAGUUACUAGUGCAUCACCUGGGUCACCCGCAGCCCGUGAUGAUUGGAUCAGCCACGGUGGGGGCAGGUAUAAACUGGCAAAGGUCCCUCCCACUCUGUGUCAUUGGCGGUGACCGAAAGCUCUCUUUUUGGAUGACAGAUAUGUAAUGCAGUCACUUCCUAUGGACGUAUUGGAGGUAAUGCAAAUGUACAUUGAAACUGUUUGACCUGAGGUGUGGUCGGAUAUUUAUAUUUUCAUAAUUUUUCAAUAAAGUAUUUAAUUUUCCAUGUU